AAGAGGACGUUGCCCUUCGGGGUAUACCUCCCACCCUUUGUUUAUUAUACCUUUGUUGCCUUGGCGGGCCCGUCCUCGGACCACCGGCUUCUGCUGGUCAGUGCCCGCCAGAGGACCUAAAACUCUGUUUGUUAAUAUUGUCUGAGUACUAUAUAAUAGUUA
rnacentral:misc_RNA from 1 species